rnacentral:tRNA from 1 species
AAAGGGAGACCUAAUUCAGGUAGGAGACGAAAAAAAGUAGUCCCUACCAAGAAUCAAUCCCAAAAGGUCGGAGCGAGGCAAAAUUGGCUUUCAAACUAGGUUCUGGGUUCACAUAAGACCUGAAUCAGGAACAAGGGCUAUUAGCUCAGGUGGUUAGAGCGCACCCCUGAUAAGGGUGAGGUCCCUGGUUCGAGUCCAGGAUGGCCCACCUGCACAGGUGGCAAAAACAAAGAAAAGAAGCUCCGAGUCAACACCUUAUCUUACUCAUAUAGUAAGAGAGAAUGCUGGCUCUGAGUUCAGAGUCCAGAGGAACCUUGAAAACUGCAUAGAGCUAGGUGAAAAAGCCAAAAAAGAAGACCGCAAG